GCCUUCAUGGUACAGUGGUUUGAGUAUUGGACUAUGACUCUGGAGACCAGGGUUCUAUUUCCAGUCCAGCCA